CUGGGACACAGAGGGGGCUCCGAGACCCGGAUUGAUUCGGGGCAAAUGAUUGAUGGACCAAGACAGUGUAAUAUUUCCUCAGUACAAAGCCAAGUGUGACCAGCUGCUUCUAAUAACCAGCAGACAAUUACACGAAGGAGCAAGACAAUGUAACAUUCUCUGGUUACAAAACCAAGUGUGAUCAGUUCCUUCUAACAAACAGCAGGGAAUUGGAAGACUAUUUGCAAUGAGGAGACAUAAAACCAGGCAUCACUUCCCAAUUUGACCAAGCUGCUGAGCUUAUUGCCACCUGAAUAUCAUUGGGUUUUGAAGGAAAAAGCACCGCCCACAGUGGGGAGAGAAACCGUACAUGUGUUGUACACGUGGACAAGUCUUCAGCAGAUCAUUGCCCGUCACGAUAUAAAUACAGCCAAACUGGGGAAAGGCCAUUCGUCUGUUCCAAGGGUGGGAAAGGAUUCACUCGAUCAUCCACCUUGCUGAAACCCCAGCAAGUUCACACAGAGAACAGACCUUUGAAAUGUUCACAAUGUGGGAGGUGUUUUAAAAACUCUGGGGCACUGAUAUCCCAACAACAUCCUCACAGUGACGAGAGACCCUUCAUGUGCUCUCACUGUGCGUGUGGGUUCAAGCCAUCAUCCAACCUCAUUAAACACCAGCGGAUCCACACUAGGGAGAGACCAUUCACCUGCUCACACUACAGGAAAGGAUUUUCUCAUAAAUCCAACCUGUUAAAACACCAGCGAUCUCUCAGAAGGUAGAGACUGGGCCUCUCAAUAUUCUGUAAGUUUCAAUCAGGUUCUCUCUCAUCUUUCUAAACUCCAACCAGAGUCCUCAACCUCUCCUCACAUGACAAGUGCUUUAAUCCCUGGGAUUUUUCUUGUAAACCCACUCUGGACCCCUCCAAGUUCAGCACAUCCUUCCUUAGAUAGGGAGCCCAAAACUGCUCACAAUGUCCCAAAUGUGGUCUGAUCAGAGCCUUACAAAGCCUCAGCAAUACAUCCCUGAUCUUGUAUUCUGACCCUCCCGAAAUGAAUGCUGGCAUUACAUUUGCCUUCCUAACUGCCAACUGAACCUGCCUGUUAACCUGAAGAGAAUCCUGAACUCGGACUCCCAACUCCCUUUGUGCUUCAGAUUUCCCCAUUUUAGGAAACAGUCUCCGCCUCUAUUCUUCUAAACCCAUUGCAUACCCUCCCACACUGUCAUCCAUCUGCCAACCGAACCUUAAUAGGAUCUGUAAAUAUAUGGCUUACUUGUAAAACAGAAGGCUGGCUGCGAGUGUAAAUGUAUUCAGCAUUCGGAAGCCUGUGGUGACGUUGUGUAACGCACGCAGAAGGCGGUCACGUGACGUUCCGUUUCACGCCCAGAAGAGUGCGAGGCGGUCACGUGACAUUCCAUUUCACGCCGAGGAGGUCAUCUGAUGCUCCGUUUCGCGGGCAAAAGAAGGUCACGUGGGGUCGGACAUCCGGGAAUGCGAGGAGGCAGAGAAUGCAGUCAGAUCAACAGCCAAUCAGAAGAUAAUUCUACCUCAGUGAUUGUAUGACAUUUUUUUAUUGUGUAAAAGACUGGG